rnacentral:rRNA from 1 species
AGGACGAACGCUGGCGGCGCACCUAAGACAUGCAAGUCGAACGGUCUCUUCAUUCUUCGCAAGAAGGGGGGGAGAUAGUGGCGGACGGGUGAGUAACACGUAAGGGACCUGCCCUAGAGUGGGGGAUAGCCUGGGGAAACCGAGGGUAAGCCCGCAUACGACCGAUGGCAUAGCGCGAUCGGGGAAGUACCUGUCUUCUUCGGACGAGGGGUAGCUCUGGGAGGGCCUUGUGGCGGAUUAGCUAGUUGGAGGGGUAGCGGCCCACCAAGGCGACGAUCCGUAGCUGGUCUGAGAGGAUGACCAGCCACACCGGGGACUGAGACACGGCCCGGACUCCUACGGGAGGCAGCAGUUAGGGAAUUUUCCCAAUGGGCGCAAGCCUGAGGGAGUGACGCCGCGUGCGGGAUGACGCUUUUCGGAGUGUAAACCGCUUUUCAGGGGGACGAGAUGGACGGUACCCCUGGAAGAAGCCCCGGCUAACUACGCGCCAGCAGCCGC